rnacentral:rRNA from 1 species
GACGAACGCUGGCGGCGUGCCUAAUACAUGCAAGUCGAACGCAGUGGGGACGGGUGCGUAACACGUGAGUAACCUCCAAUCAGAGGGGAUAACACUUGGAAACAGGUGCUAAACCGAUACUGUUGGAUUGAACCUCGGUGCAUGAGCUAGUUGGUGAGGUAACGGGCACCCAAGGCAAAGAUGCAUAGUCGACCUGAGAGGGUAACCGGCCACACUGGGAAUUAGACACGGCCCAGAAUCCUACGGGAGGCAGCAGUAGGGAAUUGUCGGCAAUGGACGAAAGUCUGACCGAGCAACUCCGCGUGAGUGAAGAAGGUUUGCGGAUCGUAAACCUCUGUUGUUAGAGAAGCGGUAUCUAAUCAGAAAGCCACGGCUAACUACGUGCCAGCAGCCGCGGUAAUAC